GAUGGAAUACUGCAGCAGAGGCAGAAAUAGAUGACAUUAACAAGGACAGGAACUAGGGCACAUUUAUCUGAAACGGAUUUGUGUGAUGGAAACAUUUCCAGCUGUACCAGUGCUGUAACAUCUACACCCAAAUUAGCUCAUGAGUCAAGAUAUCUCGCUUGGUUAUUACAUUUAUUGCAUCAAUUAUCUACAAAUGAAAUACAGCUGCGUUGUCUAUUGCCCCAGUUUCAAGCAUCCACUUAAUGAGCUUCAGAACUGGUGCAUUUGAUGACAACAAAUAAAAAGAGAACUUAAUCUUCCCUUGUAC
rnacentral:lncRNA from 1 species